rnacentral:rRNA from 1 species
AGGAUGAACGCUGGCGGCGUGCCUAAUACAUGCAAGUCGAACGAGGUCUUCGGACCGAGUGGCGAACGGGUGAGUAACACGUUGGUACCUACCCCGAAGUGGGGAAUAACUGCCCGAAAGGGUGGCUAAUACCGCAUAAUACCGCAAGGUUAAAGCAGUAAUGCGCUUCGGGAGGGGCCUGCGUCCCAUUAGCUAGUUGGUAGGGUAAUGGCCUACCAAGGCGACGAUGGGUAGCUGGAUCGAGAGGUUGACCAGCCACACUGGGACUGAGAUACGGCCCAGACUCCUACGGGAGGCAGCAGUGGGGAAUAUUGGACAAUGGGCGCAGGCCUGAUCCAGCCAUGCCGCGUGGAUGAUGAAGGCCUUAGGGUUGUAAAGUCCUUUUAACGGGGAAGAUAAUGACGGUACCCGUAGAAUAAGCCCGGCUAACUUCGUGCCAGCAGCCGC